GCGGAUGUGGCGGAACUGGCAGACGCGCUAGACUUAGGAUCUAGUGGGCAACCGUGCAGGUUCGAUCCCUGUCAUCCGCACCA
rnacentral:tRNA from 1 species